UGCUUUCCUACGGGGACAAAGCCCUCCAACUCCCAAAGAGAUUUCUUUGGAACUCCAUGCUGUUCACAACCUCAUUGCCCCAGUCCUUCAGAGCCAUUGUAGCAGGAGGCAGAGUACAGAGUGAUGGAUGCUUCUGGAAAAGGAGAGUUCAGCCGGCGCUGGUGUGUCCUUGGUGACGGGGUCCUGAGCUACUUUGAGAAUGAGCGGGCAGUGACCCCCAAUGGAGAGAUUCGGGCCAGCGAGAUUGUGUGCCUGGCAGUGCCCCCUCCUGACACCCACGGCUUUGAGCACACCUUUGAGGUGUACACGGAGGGAGAACGGCUGUACCUGUUUGGGCUGGAGAGCGCGGAGCAGGCUCAUGAGUGGGUCAAGUGUAUUGCUAAGGCAUUCGUGCCUCCCCUAGCCGAGGAUCUGCUGGCCCGGGAUUUUGAGCGGCUCGGACGCCUACCCUACAAAGCUGGCCUGAGCCUACAGCGGGCCCAGGAGGGCUGGUUCUCUCUCAGUGGCUCGGAGCUCCGUGCUGUCUUCCCGGACGGGCCCUGCGAAGAGCCGCUGCAACUACGGAAACUGCAGGAGCUUUCCAUCCAGGGGGACAGUGAGAACCAGGUGCUGGUGCUGGUGGAGCGAAGGAGGACACUGUACAUACAGGGCGAGCGGCGGCUGGACUUCAUGGGUUGGCUGGGGGCCAUCCAGAAAGCAGCCGCCAGCAUGGGGGACACGCUGUCGGAGCAGCAGCUUGGGGACUCGGAUAUCCCGGUGAUCGUGUACCGCUGUGUGGACUACAUCACGCAGUGCGGCCUGACCUCCGAGGGCAUCUACCGCAAGUGUGGGCAGACAUCGAAGACACAGCGGCUGCUGGAGAGCCUGCGGCAGGAUGCGCGCUCUGUGCACCUCAAGGAGGGCGAGCAGCACGUGGAUGAUGUUUCCUCGGCGCUCAAGCGCUUCCUGCGCGACCUGCCUGAUGGGCUCUUCACUCGCGCCCAGCGCCUAACCUGGCUGGAGGCCUCAGAGAUUGAGGACGAGGAGGAGAAGGUCUCCAGGUACCGAGAGCUGCUGGUGCGGCUGCCCCCUGUCAACCGGGCCACAGUGAAGGCCCUUAUCAGCCACCUGUACUGUGUUCAGUGCUUCUCAGACACGAACCAGAUGAACGUGCACAACCUGGCAAUUGUGUUUGGGCCCACGCUCUUCCAGACAGAUGGGCAGGACUACAAGGCUGGCCGUGUGGUGGAAGACCUCAUUAACCACUAUGUGGUGGUGUUUAGUGUGGAUGAGGAAGAGCUCAGGAAGCAGAGGGAGGAGAUCACUGCCAUUGUGAAGAUGCGCGUGGCUGGCACUGCCAGUGGGACCCAGCAUGCCGGUGACUUCAUCUGCACAGUGUAUCUGGAAGAGAAGAAGGCAGAGACUGAGCAGCAUAUCAAGAUCCCAGCAUCCAUGACUGCUGAGGAGCUCACCCUGGAGAUCCUGGAUCGCCGGAACGUGGGCAUCAGGGAGAAGGACUAUUGGACCUGCUUUGAGGUCAACGAGAGGGAGGAGGCAGAGCGCCCCCUGCACUUUGCGGAGAAGGUGCUGCCCAUCCUGCACGGGCUGGGCACGGACAGCCACCUGGUGGUGAAGAAGCACCAGGCCAUGGAGGCCAUGCUGCUGUACCUGGCCAGCCGUGUCGGUGACACCAAGCAUGGCAUGAUGAAGUUCCGUGAGGACCGCAGCCUCCUGGGCCUGGGCCUGCCCUCAGGUGGCUUCCACGAUCGCUACUUCAUCCUCAACAGCAGCUGCUUGCGGCUCUACAAGGAGGUCCGGAGUCACCGGCCUGAGAAGGAGUGGCCUGUUAAGAGUCUCAAAGUCUACCUGGGAGUGAAGAAGAAACUCAGGCCACCCACCUGCUGGGGCUUCACAGUGGUGCAUGAGACAGAGAAACAUGAGAAGCAGCAGUGGUACCUCUGCUGUGACACACAGAUGGAGCUCCGGGAGUGGUUCGCUACCUUCCUGUUUGUGCAGCAUGACGGCCUGGUGUGGCCCUCAGAGCCCUCACGCGUGUCCCGGGCAGUGCCUGAGGUCCGGCUGGGUAGCGUGUCACUGAUCCCCCUUCGAGGUAGUGAAAAUGAAAUGCGCCGGAGUGUGGCUGCCUUCACCGCGGACCCUCUGUCUCUUCUGCGCAACGUCUGAGCACAGGAGCCCAUCCUUGGUUCUAGGAUUCCGCCGCUGGAAGCCUUCUGUUCAGACACCCCUUAUGCUCCAAGGCCUGAUGUGAGCCAGCGGGGGGUGCAUGGGAAACUGCACCCCACAACCCACAUCCUCCAUCCUGACUGCAGCAUGGGGUUCCCCGGCAGGGGUGGGAGGCAGCAGGGUCAGCCUGGGCAGGAACCUCUCCCAACUCUGUCCAGGUGUUCAGACCUCUUGGCCCAACCUGCUCACCCCACCGGGUUCACUGUCCUUGUGGGGCUGGAGAGAUGGGCAUAAGUCAGGAACUUGGGAGGACCACCACCCUUUCAGAGGCGUGAGGCCCUGGGGCGCUGCCGGAAGGGAGCCCCCUGCUCCUCCCAACAAACUCCAGAACAGCAGAAAGCGGGUGCUGUAGAGGAGCACUCAGCUCACGGGGAGGGAGCUCUUGGCUGAGCUUCUACAGGGCUGAGAGCUGCGCUUUGGGGACUUCAGCCUUCCUUCCAGUCUGGGCUGAGUGGGGGGUCCAGACUACCUGAUGCCCCUUCCCCAAUUUGGGGACUUUUUGAUAAUAUAAAUAUAUCUGUAUAUUUUACCCUA
rnacentral:sRNA from 1 species